UAAGGAAUAUUGGUCAAUGGACGCAAGUCUGAACCAGCCAUGCCGCGUGGAGGAUUAAGGCCCUCUGGGUUGUAAACUCCUUUUAUCUGGGAAGAAAUGUACUUUUUCUUGAGUACUUGACGGUACCAGAGGAAUAAGCACCGGCUAACUCCGUGCCAGCAGCCGCGGUAAUACGGAGGGUGCAAGCGUUAUCCGGAUUCACUGGGUUUAAAGGGUGCGUAGGUGGGCAGGUAAGUCAGUGGUGAAAUCUCCGGGCUUAACCCGGAAAGUGCCGUUGAUACUAUUUGUCUUGAAUCUUGUGGAGGUAAGCGGAAUAUGUCAUGUAGCGGUGAAAUGCUUAGAUAGGACAUAGAACACCAAUUGCGAAGGCAGCUUACUACACAAUCAUUGACGCUGAGGCACGAAAGCGUGGGGAUCAAACA
rnacentral:rRNA from 1 species